CAGCAGCCGCGGUAAUACGAGGGGUGCAAGCGUUAUUCGGAUUGAUUGGGUGUAAAGGGUGUGCAGACGGCUUAUUAAGUCACUUGUUAAAUUCUUCGGCCUAACUGAAGGUCUGCAAGUGAUACUGAUGAGCUAGAGGGUGGAAGAGAGAAGUGGAAUUCUCGGAGUAGCGGUAAAAUGCGUAGAUCUCGAGAGGAACACCAAUGGCGAAGGCAGCUUCUUGGUCUAUUCCUGACGUUCAUACACGAAAGCGUGGGGAGCAAACAGGAUUAGAUACCCCGGUAGUCCCUGUCUCUUAUAC
rnacentral:rRNA from 1 species